AUGUUGGACUAUAUUUUCCACAAGCUAGCUAACAGGAUAGUUGGGAAGCAGAGAGAAGCUGAGAAGUGGACUGGUAGACUAUGCCCCAAAAUUCAGAAGAAAUUAGACAAAUAUGUUGAGUGGGCAAAGAACUGCAGGGUAAAAGAAUAUGGCAAAGGUGUAUUUCAGGUUAUGUCUCUAAACAACACAUAUGUUGUGGAUCUCAACAUGAAUAGCUCUGAAUGUAAGAGAUGGGAGCUAUCUGCCAUACCUUGCCAUCAUGCUAUUGCAUGUUUCAGGCACGAGAGGAUUGAACCAGAGAGCAUGGUUCAUGAGUGCUAUACAGUGGAAAACUACAAGGAUUGCUAUGGAUGGAACCUGAUGCCUAUGAGUGACAUGAAGAAGUGGGAAAAGAUGCAUGGUAUCCCUGUCUUCCCACCUAUAUACACAAAAGUCAUGGGUAGGCCAAAGAAAAAUAGAAAGAAAGAGCCAGAAGAGAAACGAGAUAAGAAUGGACUGAAGAAAAUUUCCAAACAUGGUGUGGAGCUGCUGACCAUAACAAGAAGGGACACCACAAUCACCUAA
rnacentral:rRNA from 1 species